rnacentral:rRNA from 1 species
UACGUAGGGUGCGAGCGUUAAUCGGAAUUACUGGGCGUAAAGCGUGCGCAGGCGGUUCGUUGUGUCGGCGGUUAAAGCCCCGGGCUCAACCUGGGAAUGGCCGUUGAAACUGGCGAACUGGAGUGUGGCAGAGGGGGGUGGAAUUCCGGGUGUAGCGGUGAAAUGCGUAGAUAUCCGGAGGAACACCGGUGGCGAAGGCGGCUUCCUGGACCGACACUGACGCUGAGGCGCGAAAGCUAGGGGAGCAAACGGG